rnacentral:rRNA from 1 species
CCUACGGGAUGCUGCAGUGGGGAAUAUUGGACAAUGGGCGAAAGCCUGAUCCAGCCAUGCCGCGUGUGUGAAGAAGGCCUUCGGGUUGUAAAGCACUUUCAGUGGGGAAGAAAGCCUUGGGGCUAAUACCCUCGAGGAAGGACAUCACCCACAGAAGAAGCACCGGCUAACUCCGUGCCAGCAGCCGCGGUAAUACGGAGGGUGCGAGCGUUAAUCGGAAUUACUGGGCGUAAAGCGCGCGUAGGCGGUCUGAUAAGCCGGUUGUGAAAGCCCCGGGCUCAACCUGGGAACGGCAUCCGGAACUGUCAGGCUAGAGUGCAGGAGAGGAAGGUAGAAUUCCCGGUGUAGCGGUGAAAUGCGUAGAGAUCGGGAGGAAUACCAGUGGCGAAGGCGGCCUUCUGGACUGACACUGACGCUGAGGUGCGAAAGCGUGGGUAGCAAACAGGAUUAGAUACCCCAGUAUC